CGAAAUUUCUUCUUUCCGGGUUCUAACCAUCCAUUGCCACAGGGUCUUCUUGGGGGGUUCCACCUUUGACUAAUUCGCCUAGUCGUCCCUCGUUUGAUUCUUUCCAUUCUCGUAAUGAAAUGGGCCUUUUUUUUCAUUGUUUUGUUUGAAGUAAAGGCUUGUUUAUUGAGUCUAAGAGCCUACCCGAAGUAAAUCCUUAUCCUUCUUUUUAUU
rnacentral:lncRNA from 1 species